GACGAACGCUGGCGGCGUGCCUAAUACAUGCAAGUCGAGCGAACUGACCAGAAUCUUGCUUCUCUGAUGUUAGCGGCGGACGGGUGAGUAACACGUGUAUAACCUACCUAUAAGACUGUUAUAAUUUCGGGAAACCUGCGCUAAUACCGGAUGAUAUUUUGCACCUCAUGGUUCAAAAGUGAAAGACGGUCUUUCUGUCACUUAUAGAUGGAUCCGCGCUGCAUUAGCUAGUUGGUAAGGUAACGGCUUACCAAGGCAAGGAUGCAUAGCCGACCUGAGAGGGUGAUAGGCCACACGGGAACUGAGACACGGUCAAGACUCCUACGGGAGGCAGCAGUAGGGAAUCUUACGCAAUGGGCGAGAGCCUGACGGAGCAAAGCCGCGUGAGUGAUGAAGGUCUUAGGAUCGUAAAACUCUGUUAUUAGGGAAGAACAUAUGUGUAAGUAACUGUGCACAUAUUGACGGUACCUAAUCAGGAAGCCACGGCUAACUACGUG
rnacentral:rRNA from 1 species